rnacentral:tRNA from 1 species
ACCUGGCUGGCUCAGUUAGUAGAGCAUGUGACUCUUGAUCUCUGGCUCAUGAGUUCGAGCCCCAUCUUGGGUG